GAUGAAUUGGAAGACAGAAUAGUGUUAAAAAUUUCAAAAAUAUUCAAAACAAAACUAAAAUAUUAGACAUAACUCUAACUCAAUUAAUUUAGAUCAAAUUUUGAUGGUGGUUCGAUUAAAACUGGAUAUUCUGUAAUAAUGUAAACAAAAUUGUUAUAAAUAAUAAAUUUCAAAACUUCAUAAAGUAAUUAAAAUUGUCAAUUACAAUCAAUACAAUAAAUUUUUUAAAUAUGAAAAAUGCUUCAAGAUAUAUAUCAAACCUUUAUUGCAUAAAGGUCCAGUGUAUCCAGCCGCACAGGAAAAUCCAUCACUAUUUGUGCAGAACAACAUGUGUUUACAAAAAGUCAUCUUUAGUGAACACCUAGCAGAACAAUCAGCUCCAUAUUUAUUUUUACUGCAUUCUGUAAACAAAAUUAAAUAGGUUAAUUGUUUUUGAAUAAUUUUAAAUGGUUAUCAAUAUAAAUAUAUAUAGAUGAAUUGAUAUUCGUAGUCGUUGUUCAAGUGAUGACUACUUAAAAUUUAACUUAAAAACUUACUCCGAAAAGAAAUUUACAAAAAAGUCAUUGAUCUACAAUUAAAUUUUUGUUAUUUUAUUUACUUGGAUAUAUACAAGGUGAUCGACUGACUAUGUUUCAAGUAAUAUCUUUAAAAAUACAAGUGUUAUAAACAGAUUUUUAUAGAUCUUUUAUAGGAUGUUUAACGAGAAAAUUACAAUUCAUUAUUUUUAAAACUUCCAGUAAAACACUACCAGUUUUAUGAAUAAACAUCCCAAGCUUACCUUAGUUAUUUUGACUACGUGCAUUAUCACAGUAAACCGGUAGCUCUUUUUGCUACAUAAAAUAAUAAUGUCACCGUUUAG